UGGGUGUGGAUAUACUUUUUAAGGUGCCAUAUUCUUUUUCCUUUCCCAUCACUCUUAAGCUGUUUUUGGAUAUGAUAAAACAUUUUAGAUAUUUCUUACCCCAAUUGUUAAGCCGCUGAGCAGUGCCAAAGUGCAAGAAAUUAUGGUUUGGACAUGGCUAUAGAUUAUUAAUUGUUUGUAGCAUGUAAAAAAUUUGGAUGAAAAUGUUACAACCUGGAAUAGGGUUUGGACGACCUCUCAUAACGGGAACUGGCAUAUUAUUGUUAUUUAUGAACCUGUUCUCAUUUUUUCAGUAACAAUAAUGAUAUUUGAAGAUGAAGUUAUACUUAUUUAGGGUUUUUUAGUGAAUACAAACAAGAUGUUCCCGUUAAGGCAUGUUCGAAGUUGGGUG
rnacentral:misc_RNA from 1 species